UUUCCGUAGGUGAACCUGCGGCCCCUUCCUUGUGGUGGUGGAGCAAUCGAGCGAAAGCACGUGAGCUUUGGCCCCCAAGAAACAAAACCCAGGCGCAAUUCGCGCCAAGGAAAACUUUAAACUCAAGGGCGUGCUCUCCUCACAUUGCCCCCAUUUGCGGGUGCGCGACUGGGUGUUUGCCCGCUCCUUAGUGAAAACACAAAUGACUCUCGGCAACGGAUAUCUCGAGUCUC
rnacentral:misc_RNA from 1 species